rfam:Dichanthelium oligosanthes cultivar Kellogg 1175 unplaced genomic scaffold Do_version_2_scaffold3311, whole genome shotgun sequence.
UAAUCUUGUCCUAAGUCAAACUUCUCUAACUUUGACCAAAUUUAUAGAAAAAUAUAUUAACAUCUACAAUACCAAAUAAAUAUACAAUCAAGACAUAUUCCAUGGUGGGUUUAAUGAAAACUAAUUUGAUGUUGUAGAUGUUGAUGCAUCUUUCUAUACAUUUGGUCAAAGUUAGAUAAGUUUGACUUAGGACAAAACUAA